GAGGCUGCAGUCAAGAAUAUUCCCCAAUGGACGAAAGUCUGAGGGAGCGACGCCGCGUGAACGAUGAAGCCCUUCGGGGUGUAAAGUUCUUUUAUCAGGGACGAACCAAUGACGGUACCUGAUGAAUAAGAGGUUGCUAACUCUGUGCCAGCAGCAGCGGUAAUACAGAGACCUCGAGCGUUAUCCGGAUUUACUGGGCGUAAAGGGUCCGCAGGUGGUUUUGUAAGUCUUCGGUUAAAUUCUUGAGCUCAACUCGAGAACCGCCGAGGAAACUAUAAGACUAGAGACUGGGAGAGGCAAGCGGAAUUGCCGGUGUAGUAGUAAAAUGCGUUAAUAUCGGCAAGAACACCAAAUGCGAAGGCAGCUUGCUAGAACAGUUCUGACACUCAGGGACGAAAGCGUGGGGAGCGAUACGGAUUAGAUACCCGUGUAGUCCACGCCCUAAACGAUGGGUACUGGGCAUUGGGAGUAUCGACCCUCUCAGUGCCGUAUACUAAAGCUAACGCGUUAAGUACCCCGCCUGGGGAGUACGGCCGCAAGGCUAAAACUCAAAGGAAUUGACGGGAACCCGCACAAGCGGUGGAGCAUGUGGUUCAAUUCGACAAUAAGCGUGGAACCUUACCAGGGCUUGACAUGCUGGAAGUAUUCACCCGGAAACGGGAGAUGACCGUCAAAUCGGAUUCCAGCACAGGUGCUGCAUGGUUGUCGUCAGCUCGUGUCGUGAGAUGUUCCGUUAAGUCGGGAAACGAGCGCAACCCUCACGGCCAGUUACUAUAUCUGGCCGAACUGCCCCGCACUGAGCGCAUUUACUACGUAAAUGCUUAAGUUAAAAAUUAAAAAUGUAAAGUUCAAAGUUAAGAAGUGAAAAUUUUUAUUAAAAAUUUUCACAUUCAAGAACUUUUUACUUUUAACCUUAAACUUUUAACUUAGUACGAGCGUAGCGAAGUGCGUUGAGUGCGGGGAGGAAGGUGAGGAUGACGUCAAAUCAGCAUGGCUCUUACGUCCUGGGCGACACACGUGCUACAAUGGUCGGCUACAAUGGGUUGCCAAACCGUAAGGUGGAGCUAAUCCCAUAAAACCGAUCCCAGUUCGGAUUGAGGUCUGAAACUCGACCUCAUGAAGCCGGAAUCGCUAGUAAACGCGCAUCAGCCACGGCGCGUUGAAUACGUUCUCGGGUUUUGUACACACCGCCCGUCACGCCAAGAGAGUCGGGGGUACCUGAAGCGGCCCGCAAGGGCAACGAGGGUAAACUCGAUGAUAGGGGCGAAGUCGUAACAAGGCACCGGUAGCGGAAGCUGUCGGUGGAUCACCUCCUUUCU
rnacentral:rRNA from 1 species